CCUGCGGGUGGCUGCAGUGGGGAAUAUUGGACAAUGGGCGAAAGCCUGAUCCAGCCAUGCCGCGUGUGUGAAGAAGGCCUUCGGGUUGUAAAGCACUUUCAGUGGGGAAGAAAGCCUUGGGGCUAAUACCCUCGAGGAAGGACAUCACCCACAGAAGAAGCACCGGCUAACUCCGUGCCAGCAGCCGCGGUAAUACGGAGGGUGCGAGCGUUAAUCGGAAUUACUGGGCGUAAAGCGCGCGUAGGCGGUCUGAUAAGCCGGUUGUGAAAGCCCCGGGCUCAACCUGGGAACGGCAUCCGGAACUGUCAGGCUAGAGUGCAGGAGAGGAAGGUAGAAUUCCCGGUGUAGCGGUGAAAUGCGUAGAGAUCGGGAGGAAUACCAGUGGCGAAGGCGGCCUUCUGGACUGACACUGACGCUGAGGUGCGAAAGCGUGGGUAGCAAACAGGAUUAGAUACCCUGGUAGUC
rnacentral:rRNA from 1 species